GGCCCGUUAGCAGCUCUCGGGUCUUCUCUCGUGUAUACCAUCGCUCAGUCUGUCGGCGAUCCUUGCGGUCAGGGAGUGGCUCAGUGCAAGGCUCUUGUUUGUCUUCGUGGCCCACGUUCAUCCACGGAUCUUUCCUGAUUCUUCCAGUGUAUCUCUUGCUGGGCCUGAGGAUAAGAAUUUCUCAAGCAGGUUUCAUACUCCAUGAACAUGCAGAAGGGAAGUUCUGUCUGUCUAAAGGCGGGCAUCACUGACGGUACCUCCAAACCCUAAUCACCUCCAAGGACCACCACAUUGGGGGUGAGAGCACCAACAUAUGAAUUUUGCGAGGACAUAAAUCAUCGGUCCGUCGCAACCUCUGUAUGACAGGACAGCACAGCAGACGCUCUCUGGUGGAAUUUACUUGAGGCCUCUUCCUCUUUCUGCUGCCGUGGGCCACGGAGUAAUGGAACAGCUCUCCUCCACCAGUUUGCUCGAGAUGAGGCAUUUAAAACGUUGAGCCACAAAAGCCAAGAAGGGAAUGGAAUUAUAGACAAUUUUAGCUUUCUACUGUGAUUGGUUGGAACACUUCUGGUCAAGUGAACAGACAUCUGACUCAUCCUGCCUUAUGCACAAAGAGAAAUAAAUUGUAUUACAACCCGGAGAAAACCAAGGAAAAUUCCACUGAGACAAAAGCACAGAGUUUGUGACCUGCCUGAAGGAGAAGGUCCAAGGGCUGGGACAUCCAUCCACCUCCCAAAGGGAAGCGCUCUGACCUCUGGCUUCUAAUUCGAGGCUCUUUUCCUUAUGAUUCCUGCCACCCUUAGGAAUAUUCCCUACUGUUUCCUACUGUUGGGACAGGCACGUUCACACUGUUGGUAAGUGUGAAUUGGAGUGGCCAAAAGGUGCAUGAACCAUUUCGAUUCUGACAAAAGAAGAAACUCGGGAGCUAACAGGAAAGACAAAUCAUUUGAGAAAAAAAACUUGACUGUAGUGUGACAGACACUGUAAUACUGAUUUUAUUAUUUUUACUGACUGCAUAAAAGUGCUAAAAGCAGAAGCUGGUUCCUUUUGUUUGCAGCAAAAAAUAAGAUCAAAGGCAGUCGCGGAGCCAGAGAGCCCUCUCAUUAUCAUUGAUUUUCUGUUGUUUCAUUGAUCCUUAAAUUAUAUGAAAAUAGCUUGAAGUUAGAGUAAUGAAUCAUUUAAUCAGAAUGAGAGAUGUCUUAUUUAUCUGUUGGCUGCAGUCAUGUUAAAAAUUGCACUGACUGAAGGAUAGCAGUUAAUUUAUUAAAUGACUUAUAUAUGUGUAUUGUA